rnacentral:tRNA from 1 species
GCCUCGGUGGUGAAAUGGAUAUCACAGCAGUCUUCGGAACUGUCGUUCCAGGUUCGAGUCCUGGCCGAGGCA